GUCCUUCCCCCUCCCGCCCCCGCCCGCCAGCCACACCCCCAGGGCGGGGUGCGCGCUCACCGGUGCAGCAAACUUGGAGCAGGCUGCCGGGUCCGUGGGGAGAAACUUGGGUUGUUGGAACUGGAAGAGCAUCACUCUUCGGGUCCUGGAACCUGGGAGCUGCUAGGGCGGCCGACCUCUCUGGGCAGUGGAAGAAAGCCAGCUGGGCUUGGAGAGUCCUGGGGGCAUGGGGAGAACCUGCCUGCCGCAGUGCCUGGGGCGAGGAUUGCAGCGGGCCUGGAGGCCCACAGUGUCUUGGUCACAGAGCUGCGGCGCUAGGGAUCCGAACCUGGUGGAGUCCCAGGACUGAUCCCUGGACCGGGACCCUUGGGGCCUACCUAACAUUUUAGGGUGGUUAUCUUGGAGAUGGUACAUAGGACCUGGAAUUGUCAUAUCCAUUUCUUUGGCAGGAAUACCAGGUUGAAUCAAUAAUCAAAAUUGCUACACAUAUUUUUGUGAGUGGAACAUAUAUACUUGUGUGAGCUGUUCACUGAGAAUCUGUAACCCACAGGACAGGCGGAGAGGUCAGCUAGGAAACAGCAGAAGACAGAAGACAAGACUGCAGUGAUAGACAAAGAUGGAUAUCAAGCCAAAGGCAACAGCACUGCGUGCUGUCGGGCAACAGCAAAGGAUCCCUGUGCAUGCAAAAAGAAAGUUGCACAAUAUGAAGGAAGCAGUAAAAAUGAAAUGAAGUAGAAGAGACAUGCAGAAAGAAAAAUGCUCUCGGAUAUGUCACAAUCGUCUUGAUUCUUUACCUGGAAAACCUGUAUUUUUUCCUUUGUAAUUAUCUAAUAUACUUUGUGUCAAAGAACAAGGACCUGAGUUCCACUUAAAGAAGAUGAAGAAGUUAACAGAUACUGUUCUCGGGUUUUAUCAUGAAAUUAGAAAUGAAAAUUUUCAGUUUCUGGUAGUCAUGAACAGAGAGCCUCAGGUAAGCCCGAGAGUGCAGGCAGACAGUCAGGAUGCUCCUGCGCAGGCUCCUCAGGUGCAGCUGUGCUGGUGGGAAAAAUCAUGCUGUUUAGCCUAACGAGGCAAAACAGAAUAAAGGCCAAGGUAAUUCAGUAGAGAGGGUCUUAAAUGCACAGCUGUGUCAGCUGCUGCCUCCUUCCCACCUGGUCUUCAUUUUUUCUCUGUGUAAUCUGUUUGCUUCCCUACUGGGCCUGCUAAGAUUAUCUGAUUCCAGGCCAAACUGAUAAUAUUUGUUAUGAGGUCCUCCAAAAUUAAUAAAAUUUGAGUUUGUCAUCUUGGUGUUCCCUGAACUAAAGUUAACUACCUGUGUCAAAUCCUAAAGUACACUUGUUACACCAGCAUCAGGCUAAGAUGUAAAUCUCCAUUUGAACUACGGAAUAGCUGCACUGCUCUUGAAACGCUACAUGCACAGAGAGAUGUUUGUUUGUAAGUGGAUACAAUAGACAGAGUGCUUGUUGGUGUUUUAAAAGCCAAAACCUGGAAUACUUUUCUUUUGACUUUACAUAUGGAGAAAAUUACGGUGUAAAAUGUAGACAAGAAUAAAAUAAUACCAAGAUGAGUAAGUCCAUUAAAAAUGUAGAUGAGCAAAUGACUUUAGCAUUAUUAAUGCUGACUGGGAAUUUGACUGGCCAAAUGAGCAUGUUUAUACUUGGGACCAAUUAAAAGGCUUACCAUUUUAAUCACUGGCAGAACUGGACAUUCAGUGUUUUCCUGGAUGACAAGAAUUUUCUUUUGUUGUUUUUUCAGUUUGGCUUUGUUUUGGUCUAGUGAACUGCACCAGAGUGUCCUCAGUGUAGAGAAGAUAACAAUACGCUACCACAGUGUUAGUAACAAUAUCUUGUUACUAACAUUUAGUAACAGUAUCUCAGAGUCUCUCCACAGCUUGAGGGGAAAACAUUGCUGCCAUUCCUACCAUGAGGAAAAUCUACAGUAACAGAAUGUUUCCGGAAGUAGAAACAUCCUACCAGUCUGGAACCUCCACGUGGACCCGACCUCUCAGCUUUCCCUGACUCCCCACCAGGGCAGCUGCUGUGUAGGAUCCGCUGUAACAUACCAACGGCACAGGCGGUGCAGUGCGCUGGGGCUGGACUCAUGGAGAAUGUCCAGGAGCUUCCCAAGAAGACCCCUCCAACAUUACUAGGCAAAAAGGUGGAUCAGGAAUACCCUCCUAAGCCCCAGGAACAGUUCCUCCUGAAAUAAUUAAAUAGACCCACAUCUUUCAGCUUUGAUUUUUUUAAUCAGCCUGAAAAGACCAGCUUUCAGAUUCCCAAAGAAAUUGCAAACACAUCUUUAAAAAAAAAAAUUAUGGGGAUCAAACUCAAAGACCUUCUACAUUGGCUAUUGGCACACAUUUCAUUCCUGGAGAUGGUUAGAAUAUGGUGUUUCUAAAAUGAGAAGGACUUAUCUUUUCUCGUCUACUUUGGAACUAAGAUGAGCCUCCCAGUCUCAGGAAUCACCUUUAACAUGUGGACUUUCAGGGAACAUUCCAGAUUUGAACAACUAAAUACUGAAAUUGAAUAUUCUAAGAAAAUUCAUCAACUUUUAUGUGAAUUUGGAAAGCAAAAGUACUGCGUUAAGUGACAUAUACAGCACUUUUGAAUUUAUAAUCACCUCUGCUCCGUGGCAUCAUAAUUAUGUGUGCUUGCAGGUACAGCUUUUUGGAGACCAGGGACAAUGGAUUUGUGACACUGGAUUAUAGUGGAGUGAUUCUACUGAGAUGUUUAGCACAGUUAUUGGGUAUGAAUGAUCGACUUACUAAAGAGGAAAGACCCAUCUGGGUCUGGGUGGCACCAACCUACAGACUUGCAGCCUGGAUGAACUACAAAGGGAAAGAAGAAGGAAGUCCUGCUGCUUGCUGCCUACUCUGCCAAGGACUGUUUCUCCUCUGCUAUGACCAUCUUUCACAGCACCCUGCAUGGAGGUCAGCUGAGUAUGUACUGAAACCUCAACACACUAUGAGUUCAAAUAAACCUUUCUUUGUUUAA